rnacentral:rRNA from 1 species
GAAGAAGGUGCAGGGUUGCGCGUUGUCAUUUAUAAACUAGUUGUUAGAGUUCUUCGAUUUGUCGCAAAGCUUGAUGAUGGCAGUGAGCGUCAAGUUGCCGAACAUGAUGUGGAGUUUGAGGUUAACAUGAAACAUUUUACGGUUGAAAAAUCGAUAGAAAUUGUUAGGUCAAAAAUUAUAUGGGGGGUUGGUCAAGAGGUCCACAUUUUGUGUCAAGAUAAGCACUUUGAAUCAGUUGAGAGGAUUGAUACCUAUUGGAAGUUGUUGACAUCAUUUCUUGAGAGAUGGGAAGAGAAAGAAUUGCUUGUGCUUGCUCAAGUUGUGGACAUUGCAAAGGGGGUUACAACAUCAUCUUGCUCUGAAAAUAUCCCAUCUAGUGAUAUAGUGGACAAUAUCAUUUGCUCAAGUUCUGACAUUUACCAGUCAAAUGCUAGCAGUCCAUCAUGCAUCAGUGAUUCCACAACUUGUAAUUUGCUUCCUAGUAAUCAGAGAUAUGUGCAAUCCGAUGGUGAAGUUGUCAUUGAUUGGUCCACUCUUGAGAUAACUCCUGUUGGUGAUGAUGUAAUAGCUCCUAUGUCCGAGGAAAACAUGUGUGUAGUUCUUGCAAUUGAGGAUGAGGUCGAGGAUGCCCAAGAACAAAAUGAGCCAGCUCCAGUUGUUGUGCCCCAUGUUAGUGUGACGCCCCCGAUUCAAUCAUACACUAAUCAUGCACGCAAACGUGUACGAUCAAGAUCAGGGACUCACGGGAAGAUAUCACAACACAACUCUAAAACAUAA